UUAAAAUACAUAAUCAUUAUAAGUGUAAAAAAUAGUUUUCUAUGCACCACGGACUUCAUGUGCCCUGUGUUGUUUCUGACACUGCUAGUAGACUGUGAAAUGUUCCUUCUUCCCUGCUUUAUAUUAAUAGAAAUACAUUUUGUUCGAGGAAGCACUGUGCCCAAUUUAUAAAUGCUCACUUCUCCAAACUCCUUUGCAGACAUCCCUUGGGUCGCCUGUGUGACCGAAUUCUGGCCAAUAAAUCUAUGUUUACUGGAUGGUACUUUGGCAUGGAUUCAGUGCCUGGAAGUGUGGCAGCCACCUCCAGCCUGUGAGGAUGAAGAGGAAUAUGCUGAGUGGCAGAGCAGAAAGCUGGACGAAGCCUGGUCCCUGUGGCCUUUUUUUUGCAGCUGUGAAACAAACACUGGCUUCAAGACAAGCGAUAUUAAAACAAGUUGUAGCUCGCCAUGAGAUGCUGCCUGACUCUACUGUUCCGAAAACCAUAACUACAGCUUUGAUUAGACAAGAGACCGAUUUCAAUCACUUUCUUCUGGUAAGAAGACCACUGACCAAGACCUGAUUGUGGCCAAUUUACAGAGGCUGAGAACAGAAGUGCUGUCACUUCCUGAAAACCCCUCUUGACUUAUACGGCCUAACUGCCAUAUAUUUAAAUGUUAAGUCUCCACCCCAAAGUGAACACAGGUUGUAUGUAACAUGCAUGUUUGUUCAAUACUCUUGCCUCAGGGCCACCUUCAUGAAUAGUCACAGCUCCUCCCGUUGCCCAUUGAGUAUGUGUGUUUAGCACCUGUUCAGCUAAAUCUCUAACCUCAACCUUCUCCUUCAACGCCUGCCUCUGCCUUUUGCUUGAAGCACACUUCCCAGCUGGUGGGAUGGCCACCUCACAGGCUAUAACCCUU